ACCCAGUCAGAUGGGUGGGGUAUAAAUAAUAAAAUUAGUAUAGUAGUAGUAGUAGUAGUGGUUUUACUUAAUAUGCACAGUACACUUUCUUUACUGAAAUGUGUAGUG